rnacentral:rRNA from 1 species
CCUACGGGAGGCUGCAGUGAGGAAUAUUGGUCAAUGGGCGCGAGCCUGAACCAGCCAAGUCGCGUGAGGGAAGACGGUCCUAUGGAUUGUAAACCUCUUUUGUCGGGGAGCAAAAGACGCCACGCGUGGCGUUCCGAGAGUACCCGAAGAAAAAGCAUCGGCUAACUCCGUGCCAGCAGCCGCGGUAAUACGGGGGAUGCGAGCGUUAUCCGGAUUUAUUGGGUUUAAAGGGUGCGCAGGCGGAAGAUCAAGUCAGCGGUAAAAUUGAGAGGCUCAACCUCUUCGAGCCGUUGAAACUGGUUGUCUUGAGUGAGUGAGAGGGAUGCGGAAUGCGUGGUGUAGCGGUGAAAUGCAUAGAUAUCACGCAGAACUCCGAUGGCGAAGGCAGCAUACCGGCGCUCAACUGACGCUCAUGCACGAAAGUGUGGGGAUCGAACAGGAUUAGAUACCCCUGUAGUC